rnacentral:lncRNA from 1 species
CUAAAGCGCCAUGCCGGAAGCACUGAGUCUGAUACGUCGGAACCAGUCUCCACCGUGUGGUUUGGUCUUGAUUUCCACUGGUACUCUGGGGUCUUGGAUAAGUCUCUGGACCUCGCCUUUGUCAUUUGCGAAGUCGAUAGGUUCCAAUAGAGAUUUUCCCAGAAUCAUUCAACUAAAAAUAGAGAACUUUUUUUUUUUGAGAGGAAGGACGGGGGCGCAGUUAAAGAUGUUAAUGUUAAGUCAUCCCUUCUGUGAUUUCGGGACAUUAUCUUUGCACGCCAUGUGAAGAUGUGCUUGCUUCCUUGUCACCUUCCGCCAUGAUUGUAAGUUUCCUGAGGCCUCCCAGGAAGCAGAAGCCUGUACAGCCCACAGAACCAUGACCUGAUGAAAUCUCUUUUCUUUAUAAAUUACCCAGUCUCAGGUCUACACAAACUCCAGCUGUAUACAAAAGACUGCAUCUCCAGCUUGUUUUGUCUGAGAGGUCUAGGCAUGAUAUUUUAUUAAUUGUGGACUAUCUCUACUUGAAUAGCUUGGAAUAUACUCAAACUUAAAGUUGAAUUCUUCCUUCCCUCCAGAUGUGCUUCAUUAAUUAAUUCAUUCAUUCAUUCAUCAGCUUCCAUACACCUCCUGUUAUCGGGCUAAGGUUAGUGGAGCUGAUGCAAAGAUAGGUAUGCAUGGCAUAAUGGCAGGAGGACCUUAGAGGCUAGUGCAGCAGAAUAGAAACAGCAGUGCCUGAUGAUAAGUAUAUGCCAGCGUGAUUUCACUUCCUCUUCUUGCCUGCUCAAAUCCCAGGGAGACAGAGUUUAUGUGAUACUCAACAAUGUGAUGGGAAACUACCAAGCUCGUAACUUUCAGUAAUCCUUUACAUCCUCUCACAGCUACUAAAUCAUGAAGGAUGGCUUGAACUCAGGCCCAUCUGACUCCAAAAUUUAUAUCCUUAACCCUAUUAUUUUCUUUAAUAGGUAAAACAGAAGCCUCAAAGACAUAAAAUAAAUUUCCCAGGCCCCAGUGUCACACAGUUAAUAAGCAACAGAGUUUAGAGUGGAACUCAAAUUGAGUACCAAAUAAGAUUUUUGCUACCACACCUAGAUUUUUUCAACAAUACUCAUUACUGUAACCUGAGUCAUGAAUGGAAGGCUAAAUUAAAGUCCUUAUUUUCUAAGACAGAGAACAAAGAUAUGUGUGACCCAUUUAAAAAUUAUAAGAAUCAUGACUUGCCCUUAUUGAGUUUCACUCUAUGCCAGGCACUGUGCUAAGCUCUUUUCAAAUACUAUGGCUUCAAGUCUUGGAAUAAUGUUAUAAGUAUGUUGCCCAUGGCCACGUGAUCAAAAACGUGGAAUUAAAGACCAGGCCUUUCUAAAUUUGUUGCUAGUGUCUCACCACCUUGUUCUACUCUCUCCAUUUUAGAAAGAUCUGCCUACAAUUUUUGAAAUAAAA